AACUCAAAGGAAUUGACGGGGACCCGCACAAGCGGUGGAGCAUGUGGUUUAAUUCGAAGCAACGCGAAGAACCUUACCAAAUCUUGACAUCCUUUGACAACUCUAGAGAUAGAGCCUUCCCCUUCGGGGGACAAAGUGACAGGUGGUGCAUGGUUGUCGUCAGCUCGUGUCGUGAGAUGUUGGGUUAAGUCCCGCAACGAGCGCAACCCUUAAGCUUAGUUGCCAUCAUUAAGUUGGGCACUCUAAGUUGACUGCCGGUGACAAACCGGAGGAAGGUGGGGAUGACGUCAAAUCAUCAUGCCCCUUAUGAUUUGGGCUACACACGUGCUACAAUGGACAAUACAAAGGGUAGCGAAACCGCGAGGUCAAGCAAAUCCCAUAAAGUUGUUCUCAGUUCGGAUUGUAGUCUGCAACUCGACUACAUGAAGCUGGAAUCGCUAGUAAUCGUAGAUCAGCAUGCUACGGUGAAUACGUUCCCGGGUCUUGUACACACCGCCCGUCACACCACGAGAGUUUGUAACACCCGAAGCCGGUGGAGUAACCUUUUAGGAGCUAGCCGUCGAAGGUGGGACAAAUGAUUGGGGUGAAGUCGUAACAAGGUAGCCGUAUCGGAAGGUGCGGCUGGAUCACCUCCUUUCUAAGGA
rnacentral:rRNA from 1 species